CCUACGGGCGGCAGCAGUGGGGAAUAUUGGGCAAUGGGCGCAAGCCUGACCCAGCAACGCCGCGUGAAGGAAGAAGGCUCUCGGUUUGUAAACUUCUUUUAUCAGGGACGAAACAAAUGACGGUACCUGAUGAAUAAGCCACGGCUAACUACGUGCCAGCAGCCGCGGUAAUACGUAGGGGGCAAGCGUUAUCCGGAUUUACUGGGUGUAAAGGGCGUGUAGGCGGGGGUGCAAGUCAGAUGUGAAAUGCAAGGGCUCAACCCCGGGACUGCAUUUGAAACUGUAGUGCUGGAGUGAAGGAGAGGCAAGCGGAAUUCCGUGUGUAGCGGUGAAAUGCGUAGAUAUUCGGAGGAACACCAGUGGCGAAGGCGGCCUACUGGACAGUAACUGACGCUGAGGCGCGAAAGCGUGGGGAGCAAACAGGAUUAGAUACCCGUGUAGUC
rnacentral:rRNA from 1 species